rnacentral:rRNA from 1 species
CAGUCGCCGCGGUAAUACGAAGGGGGCUAGCGUUGCUCGGAAUGACUGGGCGUAAAGGGCGCGUAGGCGGUUUUGACAGUCAGAUGUGAAAUUCCUGGGCUUAACCUGGGGGCUGCAUUUGAGACGUCAAGACUAGAGUGUGAGAGAGGGUUGUGGAAUUCCCAGUGUAGAGGUGAAAUUCGUAGAUAUUGGGAAGAACACCGGUGGCGAAGGCGGCAACCUGGCUCAUUACUGACGCUGAGGCGCGAAAGCGUGUGGAGCAAACAGGAUUAGAUACCCCAGUAGUCCCUGUCUCUUAUAA